UACGGGGGGGGCAAGCGUUGUUCGGAAUUACUGGGCGUAAAGGGCUCGUAGGUGGCCAACUAAGUCAGACGUGAAAUCCCUCGGCUUAACCGGGGAACUGCGUCUGAUACUGGAUGGCUUGAGAUUGGGAGAGGGAUGCGGAAUUCCAGGUGUAGCGGUGAAAUGCGUAGAUAUCGGGAGGAACACCAGUGGCGAAGGCGACUUCCUGGCCUGUUCUUGACGCUGAGGCGCGAAAGCUAGGAUAGCAAACGGG
rnacentral:rRNA from 1 species